UACGGGGGGAGCUAGCGUUGUUCGGAAUUACUGGGCGUAAAGCGCACGUAGGCGGCUUUUUAAGUCAGGGGUGAAAUCCCGGGGCACAACCCCGGAUCUGCCUUUGAAACUGGGAAGCUAGAAUCCUGGAGAGGCGAGUGGAAUUCCGAGUGUAGAGGUGAAAUUCGUAGAUAUUCGGAAGAAAACCAGUGGCGAAGGCGACUCGCUGGACAGGUAUUGACGCUGAGGUGCGAAAGCGUGGGGAGCAAACAGG
rnacentral:rRNA from 1 species